rnacentral:lncRNA from 10 species
AAGGCCACCAGGGAAACAAAGCCAGUAGGGUGAGAUUUCAAAUUCCAAAUUCCCCAAUUUUUUUUUUUUUUUUUGAGAGGGACUCUCGCUCUGUCGCUCAGGCUGGAGUGCAGUGGCUCGAUCUCGGCUCACUGCAAGCUCCGCCUCCCAAGUUCAAACGAUUCUCCUGCCUCAGCCUCCCUGGUAACUGGGACUAGGGAGUCACCUGACUAAUUUUUUUAGUAGAGACAGGGUUUCACCAUGUUGGCUAGGCUGGUCUGGAACUACUGACCUUGUGAUCUGCCUGCCUCGGCCUCCCAAAGUGUUGGGAUUAUAGGCGUGAGUCACCGCGCCCGGCCCCCAUCUUUAUUUUAAAAAAGCCAAGAAAAGGACAAAAAACCAAACACCGCAUGUUCUCA